AAUAUCCAUCUUUGCCUUAGCUUGUUUCGAGGGCUGACAUGUUGCCAAUCAGCACGAGUGCCAAAAACUUGGGCAAACUGCGAUCCGAGAGUAAACUCGCACAUAAGGCGGUAGCAUCUCGCAGACUCCAAAUAGAGUUCUAUUUAACUAAAAGCCAAAAAGCACCGACAGAGGCUUCUAUUCUCCCCCGACUGAGACCGCGUUUCUUGCCUACGCUCACAAAUGCAUUUGUCUUGCCGAAAAGCCCGCAGCCAUGCAGCAAAAAGGAGAUACAGAGCCCGAACUAAUCCUCAAUUAGGGAUGGCAGUGUAAGAAAAGCGGUCCUAAGUAAUUUUAUCAAAGUUCAAUGCAACACCAAAAUAUAAAAUAUAUUGUUUCCUUUUCUUCCUUAAGUUCUGCAAAUAACAUAUUAAAGAAAUUUGGUAAGCUAAGAUCAGCUGACUGGAUUUAUUUCAAAUAUUUAUGACUACCCAGCCAUAUUAUAGUAUAUAAACUCUAAAACGUUUUAGAAACAAAUCCAGCCUGGUAGUACAAAAUGUAGAAAGUGUCAUAAGUUCAACUUAUAAUAGUUUGAUAAUACAAAAUAUUACAGAAAGCAAAGAUGCUGCUGCUCUCAUUUUGUGAAUUUAGAUAUCAUUUUUGUGGACCCACUGUAUCCUAAGGAUUUUAGCGGUUCCGGCUGACUCAUUCGCACUCCAGCUCGCAGAUAACCUGGCCAAAAAAGAAGAUUCCCAGCUAAAAGCAAGCCAGCAUAGAAAUGGACCAAGGGAAAGCAAACCGAAAAGAGGAGACUAACGAAAAAUUCGGAUCCACGCCCCGGUAAUUCAACGUGGACCAGUCUUGAACCAAAUUGGACACCAAUCUAUGCCACCAGAUCCUUUGCCGAAAUAAACAUUUCGCAACAAAAACUAAACCUAACCAAUGGCGACCACAUUGAAACAAAUAACAUGGCCAACAACAACGGCAACUGGUUAUAACUGCAACAUCUGUUUGAACAAAUAAGCAAAACACGGAAAUGUAGUUGGCUGCUUUGCCCCACCACGCCCAUCCAGAAAUUGUUGUAGAAUUCAGGUCUCGGAGAAUAGAACCUACAGUCGUAUUACAAAAAAAUUAUUUUAAAAUCCCUACUUAAAAUAAAACAAAUCAUUAUUUUUAAUAUUCCCUAAAUUAAAUAUUACUUU